AAAAUUGUACAAUUUAUUUAAAAAAAUAACUUUAUGUAGGAAAAACGGCCUCCGUAGUCGAGUCUUAGUUGCCUUUGUUGACAAUCUGGUUGAAAGUGGUGAAUGAUGUAUGAGAGCUCAAUGAUUAUCGAAUGAAGUUCGAUAAUCAUAUUUUAGUUAUUGUCCAUAAGGUUAAGCAGAUACUAGAGUUGCUUAAACUAGUUCAUCAAAGGAAUCGACUUUCAUUUUUGGUUUCAAUUAAACUUGGCAUAAACUCUGUAUGAAUGAAAUCUAUUCUAUUGGCUGGUAUAGAUUUCUAUUAAUUAUACUUCCACAGUCAAAAUAUCUUGGCAGCAUGCUUAAAAUUAUAUUCUUAGUAAUUUUAUUACCCACACAACUUCUGUCCAGAUCUGCUGAUUACAAAAUAUUC